UACGUAGGGGGCAAGCGUUGUUCGGAAUUACUGGGCGUAAAGGGCGCGUAGGCGGCAUGGCAAGUCAGGAGUGAAAGGCCUGGGCUCAACCGAGGAACUGCUUUUGAUACUGCCAAGCUAGAGUGCGGAAGGGGCAACUGGAAUUCCCAGUGUAGCGGUGAAAUGCGUAGAUAUUGGGAAGAACACCUGAGGCGAAGGCGGGUUGCUGGGCCGACACUGACGCUGAGGCGCGAAGGUCAGGGGAGCAAACGGG
rnacentral:rRNA from 1 species